GGGCCAGUGGCGCAACGAAUAACACGCCUGACUACAGUUUAGGAGAUUCCCGGUUCGAAUCCUGGCUGGCUCG